AAAUGAAACUUUAACUUAUAUAUAAUAUAAAGGAAAAACUUCAAAAACCCUCCCUGUGGUUUUGCACUUUUUUAUUUUAGUACCAUGUGAUUUAAAGUGUAUCAAGUUAGUACCCUGUGGUUUUUCACUUUAUCACUUUUGUACUCUGUGGUUUAAAGUAUAUCAAGUUAGUACUCUGUAGUUUUAAUUUUUGUAUCAAGUUAGUACCAUGCGGUUUUCAAACCACAUGAUACUAAAGUGAUAAAGUGUGAAACCACAUAGUACUAAAGUGAUAAUGGGCGAAACCACAAGGUACUAAUUUAAUACACUUUAAACCACAAGAUACUAAAGUGAAAAAGUGCAAAACCACAGGGUACUAACUUGAUACACUUUAAAUCAUAGAGUACUAAAGUGAAAAAAAAUGAAACCACAAGGAAGGUAUUUGAAGUUUUUCCAUAUAUAAAAAAUAUCACCCAUAUAGUUUCAGAGUUUGGUUCUCACACCUUCUAAUUUU
rnacentral:lncRNA from 1 species